rnacentral:tRNA from 1 species
CGGGCUGUGGCUCAGCUUGGUAGAGCGCCUCGUUCGGGUCGAGGAGGUCCAGGGUUCGAAUCCCUGCAGCCCGA